UACGUAGGGGGCAAGCGUUGUCCGGAUUCAUUGGGCGUAAAGAGCUUGUAGGCGGUUCGGCAAGUCGGGUGUGAAAACUCCAGGCUCAACCUGGAGACGCCACCCGAUACUGCUGUGACUUGAGUCCGGUAGGGGACCACGGAAUUCCUGGUGUAGCGGUGAAAUGCGCAGAUAUCAGGAGGAACACCGGUGGCGAAGGCGGUGGUCUGGGCCGGCACUGACGCUGAGAAGCGAAAGCGUGGGGAGCGAACAGG
rnacentral:rRNA from 1 species